rfam:Theobroma cacao cultivar Matina 1-6 chromosome 6, whole genome shotgun sequence.
AAUCCAUGUUGAGGACAUCUUCUCAUCAAAUCCUUAUACCUUUCCCAAGCCUCAUAUAAUGAUUCAAAAUCAAAUUGCAUGAAAGAAGUGAUAUCAUUUCGCAUAUU